rnacentral:rRNA from 1 species
AGUUUGAUCCUGGCUCAGAACGAACGCUGGCGGCAGGCUUAACACAUGCAAGUCGAACGCCCCGCAAGGGGAGUGGCAGACGGGUGAGUAACGCGUGGGAACAUACCCUUUCCUGCGGAAUAGCUCCGGGAAACUGGAAUUAAUACCGCAUACGCCCUACGGGGGAAAGAUUUAUCGGGGAAGGAUUGGCCCGCGUUGGAUUAGCUAGUUGGUGGGGUAAAGGCCUACCAAGGCGACGAUCCAUAGCUGGUCUGAGAGGAUGAUCAGCCACAUUGGGACUGAGACACGGCCCAAACUCCUACGGGAGGCAGCAGUGGGGAAUAUUGGACAAUGGGCGCAAGCCUGAUCCAGCCAUGCCGCGUGAGUGAUGAAGGCCUUAGGGUUGUAAAGCUCUUUCACCGAUGAAGAUAAUGACGGUAGUCGGAGAAGAAGCCCCGGCUAACUUCGUGCCAGCAGCCGCGGUAA